rnacentral:misc_RNA from 1 species
AAAAUAAUUCCUAAAUUUAGUCUUCCAUGACUGCAUCACUUAUAUUGGCACAGUAGCUUAGCCUUCCUUUCAUUGGCAAUGCAGAACAACCCGUGUGAAAUCUUUCUUUUUCUUUCCAGGUUUUCUUGUUUAUCCACCAAUAUUUGAAUGCUAAUAUCUUACAAUCCUAGGAUCCAUUUUAGGCAUAUGACUACCAUUGAGAUGAUCAUGUACCACACUACAAGUUGAGACUGAUUCCAAUAAGUUAUAUGAUUUAAAGAGAAGAUUUCAGUCACCUAAAAUUGUCAUUGACAAUUCUAUCAAUGUUGCUAAGUUGACAUAAAAGAGCUUCAAAACAAUUUCUUAUAUGAACUAAAAUAGGCUCUAAAAGAGCUUGUGGAGCUUACGUUACAUAUAUUGUGUUUGGAUCAUUUAUUAAAUGAGUCUAUAAUUUGUUUAAGCUUGUUGAUUCCCACAUUAA